GAGGCGAACAAUUCUUGAAACGUGGCUAUUCUGAAGCUAUUGUCAAGGAUUUUUUUGCUUCAAGAUUUUUAUCAACAUUGACAGGGGGGAGGGGAGUAGGCGGGCUUGCGCGGUUUUGGUCUUAAGAGAGGCUGCCUGUGAAGUCAUCUGCCGUAACUGUCCCAACACUUUUGACCAGGAUUGUAGUCUUAUAUGAACAGCGAACAUCCAUCUUGUUUUGUUCGCGGAAGUCGGUCACAGAGGAGCGAAUUUCAAUGAAAUAUAUAUAUAAUUUGAUUAAGCAAUUAGCCAAAAAUAGGUUGGCCCCCAAAACAGUUUAGGGUUUAGCCUAACGCUAACCUUAAGUUUUAAGACUGAAGAAAAAAAGAAAAAAAAGCAUUGAGCAUUUCAGUUGUUUGAAA